GACGUAGGGCGCGAGCGUUGUCCGGAUUUAUUGGGCGUAAAGAGCUCGUAGGCGGCUUGUCGCGUCGUCCGUGAAAACCUGCAGCUCAACUGCAGGCUUGCGGUCGAUACGGGCAGGCUAGAGUUCGGUAGGGGAGACUGGAAUUCCUGGUGUAGCGGUGAAAUGCGCAGAUAUCAGGAGGAACACCGGUGGCGAAGGCGGGUCUCUGGGCCGAUAUUGACGCUGAGGAGCGAAAGCGUGGGGAGCGAACAGG
rnacentral:rRNA from 1 species